UUAUUAUAGCAAAGAAGAUACACCUGUUCCCAUACCGAACACAGAAGUUAAGCUCUUUAGCGGCAAUGGUACUUGGUGGGCAACCGCCUGGGAGAGUAG
rnacentral:rRNA from 1 species